rnacentral:rRNA from 1 species
UUGGAGGGCAAGUCUGGUGCCAGCAGCCGCGGUAAUUCCAGCUCCAAUAGCGUAUAUUAAAGUUGUUGCAGUUAAAAAGCUCGUAGUUGAAUUUCGGAAUCAAUUUGUUGGUCGUGCCUCGGUACGUACUGGUAUUAUUGGUUUCUACCUUCUGAAGAACCUUGAUGUCAUUAAUUUGGUGUCUUGGGGUAUCAGGACUGUUACUUUGAAAAAAUUAGAGUGUUUAAAGCAAGCAUACGCUUGAAUACAUUAGCAUGGAAUAAUGAAAUAGGACGUUUGAUUCUAUUUUGUUGGUUUCUAGGAUCGACGUAAUGAUUAAUAGGGAUAGUUGGGGGCAUUAGUAUUCAAUUGUCAGAGGUGAAAUUCUUGGAUUUAUUGAAGACUAACUACUGCGAAAGCAUUUGCCAAGGAUGUUUUCAUUAAUCAAGAACGAAAGUUAGGGGAUCGAAGACGAUCAGAUACCGUCGUGGUCUUAACCAUAAACUAUGCCGACUAGGGAUCGGAUGAUGUUAAUUUUUUAAUGACUCAUUCGGCGCCUUACGGGAAACCAAAGUGUUUGGGUUC